GUGCUAGUGGCAUUUUCCAGAGCCUCACGGAACGCAUCAGCCCAUCCCCACCCGGCCUUCUGCAGACACCUGUGCGCGGCUGUGUCUGCCACCCCCUUGCCACGGCGGAGUUUCAGAGUACCCAACCUGCGAGGACCCCCGAGAGAUGCAGGCCGCGACAUCAUUCCCGGGAUCCUGCCGAUCGUCAGGCCUCACUGAGAGAUCGUGGAGAGGUCAGAACCAGAGUCCUUGGAAUUCCCCGACCUCUUGGUGGUGCCCAGAGAAGAACCACAAUCUCCAUCUGCACCAAAGGCGAGGUCCAUCAGUUGCUCCUCUCUGAGCUGGGCAGAGGUUCUAGAAGGGGAUCCUACUCUUUCUGCCCCUGAAGAUGUAGAGGAAAACCAUCGUUUCACCCAAGACUUGCCCGUGUCUCCUGUCUCAUGUCCUGAGCUGAGCUGGAUGAAGAGAGACAAGAGACACCCCUGCAGCCUUUCAUCUCUCUGAAAUCUGGGGGAAAAAAGAGAUUCUUGCUCAGCAUCACUGCUGCUUCUGUGACAGCACGUAACUUA
rnacentral:lncRNA from 1 species